CUGUUACCUGCUGGUUCGAAAUGAUCCCCCCUUCCAUCCCUAAAGGUCCAGAACAUUCUGAAAGAACAUACAGAGAAAGACAUGAUGCUGUCUUCGCUCUCGAAGCCUAAGAUGUCCUCUCUACUGUCAUUGCUGUCUUACGUUCCUCCACCUACGGAGAUGACACCCAUUUUCUGGUGCUCCGGGGAGAACAUUACUGGAGUAACAGCCAUCUCCGAACGAUCGCAUUGACUGGGGAGAUUGGAAAAGUAGCUGCAGGCUGCUCAGACUUGCCUGUAGGGAGCUUCUGCUGUUGUGUUUGGACAGCAUGAUUGCAAAUCAAACCUUCUGAAGGGGUGUAACAUUUAUAUACACUCCUCAUAGCCAUCAGAACAAAAGGAACUCAAGAGACUCGUUACAGACAGAAAUUCAGGGACCUGCAAGGAGGAGCACAGGCUCAGCUGUGUCAGAUAAUGUAUCUGGCAGAGAUAAACCAGACCUUUGGGUUUACCACAACAACAGAAGAGCACUGGAGGGCAACAACCAAAUCCACCGCUCAAACAGGGUCACCUCACGAGAACUGAAAGCACAGAUGAACACAACAAAUGUGCAAUUUAAGGAUCUGAUGUUAGAUUGCACUGAUCCUCU